rnacentral:rRNA from 1 species
AUGAGCCAUACAACAAAGCUAUGGGAGAGAGUCAUUGAGCACCGCUUAAGAAGAAUGACAAGUGUGACCAAAAAUCAGUUUGGUUUCAUGCCUGGGAGGUCGAGCAUGGAAGCCAUUUUCUUGGUACAACUUAUGGAGAGAUACAAGGAGCAAAAGAAGGACCUGCAUAUGGUGUUGAUUGACUUGGAGAAGGCCUAUGAUAAAAUACCGCAGAAUGUCAUGUGGUGGGCCUUAGAGAAACACAAAGUCCCAGCAAAGUACAUUACACUCAUCAAGGAGAUGUACGACAAUGUUGUGACAAUUGUUCAAACAAGUGAUGGCGACACUUAUGACUUCCCAAUUAAAAUAGGACUGCACCAGGGGUCAACUUUGAGCUCUUUUUUUAUUGUUCUGGUGAUGGACGAGGUCACAAGGGAUAUACAAGGAGAUAUCCCAUGGUGUAUGCUCUUUGUGGAUGAUGUGGUGCUAGUCGAUGAUAGUCGAAUGGGGGUCAAUAGGAAGUUAUGGAGACAAGCCUUGGAAUCAAAAGGUUUUAGACUUUGA